rnacentral:sRNA from 1 species
GCUGAGCAUGGUAGUGCAUGCCUGUAAUCCCAGCAAUCUGGGAAGCUGAGGCAAGAGGAUUGCAAGUUCCAAGCCAGCCUCAGCAACCUAGUGAGACCUUGUCUCUA